rnacentral:rRNA from 1 species
AUUGAACGCUGGCGGCAGGCUUAACACAUGCAAGUCGAACGAGCGGCGGACGGGUGAGUAAUGCCUGGGAAUCUACCUUAUGGAGGGGGAUAACUACGGGAAACUGUAGCUAAUACCGCGUACCAUCGGAUAAGCCCAAGUGGGAUUAGGUAGGUGGUGGGGUAAAGGCUCACCAAGGCGACGAUCUCUAGCUGGUCUGAGAGGAUGACCAGCCACACUGGAACUGAGACACGGCACAGACUCCUACGGGAGGAAGCAGGGGGGAAUAUUGCGCAAUGGGGGCAACCUGACGCAGCCAUGCCGCGUGAGUGAAGAAGGCCUUCGGGUUGUAAAGUUCUUUCGGUGACGAGGCGUUAAUCACAGAAGAAGCACCGGCUAACUCCGUGCCAGCCGCCGCGGUAAUAC